rnacentral:rRNA from 1 species
UACGGGGGGAGCAAGCGUUGUUCGGAUUUACUGGGCGUAAAGGGCGCGUAGGCGGCCACCGCAAGUCGACUGUGAAAUCUCCGGGCUUAACCCGGAAAGGUCAGCCGAUACUGCGGGGCUAGAGUGCAGAAGGGGCAACUGGAAUUCUCGGUGUAGCGGUGAAAUGCGUAGAUAUCAAGAGGAACACCAGUGGCGAAGGCGAGUCCCUGGACAACUUCUGACGCUGAGGCACGAAAGCUAGGGGAGCAAACAGG